CGAACGCUGGCGGCGUGCUUAACACAUGCAAGUCGAACGGAAAGGCCCUGCUUUUGUGGGGUGCUCGAGUGGCGAACGGGUGAGUAACACGUGAGUAACCUGCCCUUGACUUUGGGAUAACUUCAGGAAACUGGGGCUAAUACCGGAUAGGAGCUCCUGCUGCAUGGUGGGGGUUGGAAAGUUUCGGCGGUUGGGGAUGGACUCGCGGCUUAUCAGCUUGUUGGUGGGGUAGUGGCUUACCAAGGCUUUGACGGGUAGCCGGCCUGAGAGGGUGACCGGCCACAUUGGGACUGAGAUACGGCCCAGACUCCUA
rnacentral:rRNA from 1 species